AAGGAUAUAGCUCAGUGGUAGACUGCGUGCUUAGCAUGCAUGAGGUCCUGGGUUCAAACCCCAGCAUCUCCA
rnacentral:tRNA from 1 species